ACUGCCAUAGUACAUUGAAAACAUCGUUUCUUGUCCGAUCACGAAGUUAAGCAAUGUCGGUCCCAGUCAGUACUUGGGAGGGUGACCACUUAGGACCACCUGAUGCCUUUUA